rnacentral:tRNA from 1 species
CAGACAAUAGUUUAAAUAAAACUUUAGCAUUGGAAGCUAUUAAUCAAAAUAAAAUUUGUUAUCUGA